CUCUCAAUAGCUCAGCUGGAAGAGGUUUGUGCUACCCCUCAGUCUUCCAAUUUCAUUGCUGACUUCCACACCAGCGCAAGACUGUAAUGGAAUAAACAUGUCAUCUUGAGGCCCGCGGUUCGAUCCCGCGUUGGGAGA
rnacentral:tRNA from 1 species